rnacentral:rRNA from 1 species
UACGAAGGGGGCUAGCGUUGUUCGGAAUUACUGGGCGUAAAGCGCGCGCAGGCGGUCUUCCAAGUCAGUGGUGAAAGCCCGGAGCUCAACUCCGGAACUGCCAUUGAAACUGUGAGACUGGAGUACGAGAGAGGUGAGUGGAAUUCCCAGUGUAGAGGUGAAAUUCGUAGAUAUUGGGAAGAACACCGGCGGCGAAGGCGGCUCACUGGCUCGUAACUGACGCUCAGGCGCGAUAGCGUGGGGAUCAAACAGG